rnacentral:rRNA from 1 species
UACAGAGGUCCCAAGCGUUGUUCGGAUUCACUGGGCGUAAAGGGUGCGUAGGUGGUGAGGUAAGUCGGAUGUGAAAGCUCGGAGCUCAACUCCGAAAUGGCAUUGGAAACUACCUUGCUCGAGGGUUGGAGGGGGGACUGGAAUACUUGGUGUAGCAGUGAAAUGCGUAGAUGUCGAGAGGAACACCAGUGGCGAAGGCGGCUCACUGGACUGGUAUUGACGCUGAGGUGCGAAAGCGUGGGGAGCAAACAGG